rnacentral:tRNA from 1 species
GGGGAUGUAGCUCAGUGGUAGAGUGCUUGCCUGGUUUGCAAGUAGGGUUCAACCCCC